rnacentral:rRNA from 1 species
AUAGACUAUUCGCUAAGGAUUCAAUGUUCGCAUUGAGCCAACUUAAUUAUGGAAGCUUCUAAUUGAAAAGUCUACCUUUAGAUUAGAUCUCAAAUCAGGCAGGAUUACCCGCUGAACUUAAGCAUAUCAAUAAGCGGAGGAAAAGAAACUAACAAGGAUUCCCCUAGUAGCGGCGAGCGAAGCGGGAAAAGCUCAAAUUUGUAAUCUGGCGUCUACGACGUCCGAGUUGUAAUCUCGAGAAGUGUUUUCCGUGAUAGACCGCAUACAAGUCUCUUGGAACAGAGCGUCAUAGUGGUGAGAACCCAGUACACGAUGCGGAUGCCUAUUACUUUGUGAUACACUUUCGAAGAGUCGAGUUGUUUGGGAAUGCAGCUCAAAUUGGGUGGUAAAUUCCAUCUAAAGCUAAAUAUUGGCGAGAGACCGAUAGCGAACAAGUACCGUGAGGGAAAGAUGAAAAGCACUUUGGAAAGAGAGUUAACAGUACGUGAAAUUGUUGGAAGGGAAACACAUGCAGCCAGACUUGCUAUUCGGGGCAACUCGAUUGGCAGGCCCGCAUCAGUUUUUCGGGGCGGAAAAGCAUAGAGAGAAGGUAGCAAUUUCGGUUGUGUUAUAGCUCUUUAUUGGAUUCGCCCUGGGGGACUGAGGAACGCAGCGUGCUUUUAGCAUAAGCUUCGG